rnacentral:rRNA from 1 species
AGCGAACGCUGGCGGCAGGCCUAACACAUGCAAGUCGAACGAACUCUUCGGAGUUAGUGGCGGACGGGUGAGUAACACGUGGGAACGUGCCUUUAGGUUCGGAAUAACUCAGGGAAACUUGUGCUAAUACCGAAUGUGCCCUUCGGGGGAAAAAUUGAUCGCCUUUAGAGCGGCCCGCGUCUGAUUAGCUAGUUGGUGAGGUAAAGGCUCACCAAGGCGACGAUCAGUAGCUGGUCUGAGAGGAUGAUCAGCCACAUUGGGACUGAGACACGGCCCAAACUCCUACGGGAGGCAGCAGUGGGGAAUCGUGCGCAAUGGGCGAAAGCCUGACGCAGCCAUGCCGCGUGAAUGAUGAAGGUCUUAGGAUUGUAAAAUUCUUUCACCGGGGACGAUAAUGACGGUACCCGGAGAAGAAGCCCCGGCUAACUUCG